rnacentral:rRNA from 1 species
UACGUAGGGUGCAAGCGUUGUCCGGAAUUAUUGGGCGUAAAGGGCUCAUAGGCGGUCCGUCACGUCGGGAGUGAAAACUUGGGGCUUAACCCCAAGCCUGCUUCCGAUACGGGCGGACUAGAGGUAGGCAGGGGAGAACGGAAUUCCUGGUGUAGCGGUGAAAUGCGCAGAUAUCAGGAGGAACACCGGUGGCGAAGGCGGCUCACUGGACCGGAACUGACGCUGAGGCGCGAAAGCGUGGGGAGCAAACAGG